CGGAUGCGAUCAUACCAGCACUAAAGCACCGGAUCCCAUCAGAACUCCGAAGUUAAGCGUGCCUUGGCGAGAGUAGUACUAGGAUGGGUGACCUCCUGGGAAGUCCUCGUGUUGCAUCCCUC
rnacentral:rRNA from 1 species